AACGUCAACGCCGACACUUUUAGCAAAAGCGUCGUUAAAUAAAGCAAAUACCGACGCUUUUGUACAGUAUUUAACGACGCUAAAAAGCGUCGUUAGUUCGUUUAAUACCCCCAAUCUCCCGUGCCCUAAUCUAUCUCCCGCCGCCCCUGCUUUCCAUCCUUUCCUCCGCCGACCUGUGGUAGCGCAGCCGCCGUCCGUGAGCGCCGGCACUCCGGUCUUCCUCGCCG
rnacentral:lncRNA from 1 species